UCCACUCUUCGUCUCUCUAUUUCUCGAUCGAAAUAGAUUUUUAUUACAAAAUUAAAGUGAAAUUAAAACGUAUCGGUGCUAAAACCAAAAUGUAUAUCCGAUUUAUGUAAAUUGGAUUACGAAAACUACUCGCAUGAAAAUUUCUAGUCUCUUUUGCUCGUUCGAAUAGAUACAUUUAAAUAUAUACACGUGUACAUAUACACGGAUAUACAUGUAUGUGAUACAUUUACUUACACUUUUCGCGAUUUACUCUUCACAACGACUUCUCUCACUUUUCAAAGACAUUACAAAAGUGUCGUGCCCGUUUAUCAUUUCACAUAGAAUCCACGAGGACUAUUCGCUCGAUGCUAAUUCUACGGGUCUCCUGGAAAGUGACAAUUACUUUUAACGGACACAGACGAGUUGGAGCUAGCUAGCUCGUUUCUCUUACAAGAAAGAGAGAAAGAGAAUGAGAAAGAGAGAAGCAGAGAGAGAGAAAUAGAGAGAAGAUAGAUUAUCGUCGUCUACGAGAUAUCUUACGAGAGCUUGUGAACGCGAAGAAGUUAAGGAGAAAAGGAAACGAGAGAAUCUGUUGGUAAAAGGGAAGAAUUGGUUAACAAAAGGUCUUCGUCGAAAGUAUUCUUAGCAUUACAGGUCCGCUGACAAAGGUUACGAUAAGAUGAUGAAGAGAAGAGUCUUGGAAAUGUCAGUACUAGUUAAGAGAAGUUCCACUUUAAAGCAUGGCGAGUGGUAAACAUCGAAUCGACUGGCAAAACACGCGGGAGUUGGUCCUUGUAUUUCGUGGUGAGCGAACUUCGGUAAAAGGGAGAAAAGAAAAAUCAAGGUGGCCGGUAAUGUUAUUCCCAAUAGACGAAAAGAAUCGAAGGGGAGAGAAAGAGAUAGAGAAAACUAAAUUUAUUUAUCGGACGAACAAAAGCCUAAAGCUUUUGGAAGAAAAUGAAAAUUUAAAUGCUAAAUCUAAUUUUAAAUGACGUGUAUUAAUUUUCUAUUAACUUUAGAUCAAUAUACGAAGUUUAUUCUUACUUUAAAUGGAAUGUUAAACUUUUAUGUGAUCAAUAUACCAAGUUAAAAUGACAAUAGGUAGAAAAAUUAAUAAAGUGGGGUAAAGAUAAAAGAGAAAAAAGCUUGUAGUACGAGAAGGAACACGAUUAAAGACUGAGAAGGAGUAGUUAGAGUAGAAGGAAGCACGUCGAGGCUAAAGAAGAAAAAAGAAAGAGAAGGAAGAGAGUUCGGGCGAUCGCAAAAGUUUCCGUUCGAUGCCAAUGACAUUUUCUUCCCACUUGGGUAACUCCGCUCGAACGUUCUUCGAUAACUCCUUCCUCUUGGCUUUCCCAUCUUCCUAAGCGAGAUCUGUUUUAAGAAAAUGCACCUGCAACGUAAUUUUGUAUCUUGCAAACGGGGAGAGGUGUUAACUAUAUCGAAUAGAAGCUCGAGUCCCUAAUCCGUAUCAUGGGUAUGAGAAGAACACGAUAUCCUUGGAAAGCUAUCCAAUUUCGUCGAUUUUUGUUGUAUUCCUUUUUGUUUCUUCGUAUCAUCGUAAUACCAUUGAAAGUUUUUAAAAUUCACCAGCAUUAUCAUACUGAUAAGACAACGUAACAUUCAAGGAAGAUAAGAAACGAGAAUACGAUCCUAAGAGAUCAGACGACGGAUGGUGGGACACUUUGAAACUUGGAGCGUCAAGGUCCCGAUUCAUCGAUCACUUUAAUACGACAAAAAUGAUUAAUCAAAAGACCCGUUGGGCGUCAUGUUUUACAUAACGGCCGGCUCUAAAAGUCGGAAGCGGAACGCGCACUAGCACGAAAAGCACUGAGAGGAAGAGUGGACCUGGCGUUAAGCAAUGAAAGGGUUUGAGAGGGACGGUCGGUCGUUUAGAGAUACUGAUGCCCUCGGACAGGCCGCUAAAAGCAGAGCUCGCACCAUCUCGUUGACUGCACUCGGUCUACGUCUAAAACAGAAAAAUACACCGGAUGGAGAAAAAACAAGGCGAGCAAUACUAUUCUUUUUCUCUUGAUACGAAAACGAGAACGGGAGGGUAAAGUAACAGAGAGAAAGAAAGAGACAGAUACAGUAAGAAAGAAAGAAGAUAUAGAUAAAGAGAGAAAAAGAGAGAAAAGGAGAGAAAGAGAGAAUAGAGAAAAAGAGAAAAACUAAAGAAAGAUAGAUAGAUAGAGAGAGAAAGAGAAAGAGAGAAAAAGAAGUGAAGAGAAAGACGAAGAAGGAGAAAACUCAGAACGUGGAAUACAAAUGGACAAUAAACCGUCCUCGCCCAGCGUCUACCGACGGUGUAUCACCGGUGACACCGGUAGUUUUAGUUUAUGCCGCAUGUAUAAGCGGCGUUUCCCGUCAGGAGCCCAGGGUCUAACGCGAUUCUCGUUUCAAGGAUUCUCUUGGCUACCUCUACUCACUCUCUUUCUGUCCCUUUUCAUCCUCUUCACCGAGCUUCCAUAGGAGAACAGUCUUCCUUACUCUUCUCUUCCCUUCUAUCUCUCCUUUCCUCUUAUUUGCUCCCUUUUCCAUCAUAUUACUCUUCUUUCUUUUUCGUUUUUCAUCUUUGCAAGUUUGCCUUCUAUCCUUUCUUUCUCUUUUUUCAUUUUCUGGAAACUCUUUUAUGAUUUUUCC